rnacentral:rRNA from 1 species
UACGUAGGGUGCGAGCGUUGUCCGGAAUUACUGGGCGUAAAGAGCUCGUAGGUGGUUUGUCGCGUUGUCCGUGAAAACUCACAACUCAAUUGUGGGCGUGCGGGCGAUACGGGCAGACUGGAGUACUGCAGGGGAGACUGGAAUUCCUGGUGUAGCGGUGGAAUGCGCAGAUAUCAGGAGGAACACCGGUGGCGAAGGCGGGUCUCCUGGGCAGUAACUGACGCUGAGGAGCGAAAGCGUGGGGAGCGAACAGG